rnacentral:rRNA from 1 species
CCUACGGGAGGCAGCAGUGAGGAAUAUUGGUCAAUGGGCGUAAGCCUGAACCAGCCAAGUCGCGUGAGGGAUGAAGGUCCUAUGGAUCGUAAACCUCUUUUAUAAGGGAAUAAAGUGCGGGACGUGUCCCGUUUUGUAUGUACCUUAUGAAUAAGGAUCGGCUAACUCCGUGCCAGCAGCCGCGGUAAUACGGAGGAUCCGAGCGUUAUCCGGAUUUAUUGGGUUUAAAGGGUGCGUAGGCGGCCUGUUAAGUCAGCGGUGAAAGCCCGGGGCUCAACCACGGCACUGCCGUUGAAACUGGCAGGCUUGAGUGUGUGAGAGGUAGGCGGAAUGCGUGGUGUAGCGGUGAAAUGCAUAGAUAUCACGAAGAACUCCGAUUGCGAAGGCAGCAUGCC